CAUCUCCAACUCCCCAGGGCUGGAGCCAUCGUCCCCAUCAUUGACGGGACCAGACAUCUCCGUUUCCAUGCUGUGCUGUGGACGGAAACGGCCAAGGCAUCAAACCUCCAUCGCUUUCUGGGGGUUAGAAAUGCCCGUGACGAUGGUCCAACACAGAAGACUUACUGAAAUGUUAAAUCUUGCUGACCGUGGCUGCAAGGCAAGCAAACCCGAAUGUCAAUCCCCUCCAAACGGACAGGUCCGACACGCAGCAUCGCAACUUGCCGGAGAAAUAUUUCCAGAUCUUUAGCGGCAGCAUCACCAGACGGCAGUUUCACACUGAAUCGAGUUCCUCUCUGAGGCGAUGGUUCCGAGAAGCGGAGCCCCUGCUCUGAAUCAUAGUGAAGCCACCAGCCUCAAUGCUGGAUCUGGCCUCGUCUGAGUCACCAGCGCGCAUCUACUCAGCCAUCUGCAGUGAAUCUGCAGUGAACCUGCAGUGAACCUGCAGUGAACCCUCCAUGUCUUUAUUCCUUACGCUCCCCUCCAUGGAUGCUGAUCCUCAACACACUUUCAGAUCCUCAACAAGCCCAAGCCUCCUCCAUCACCAGGCAUUUGGAAAACAACUGGAAGAACUGAGGCCGUUCUCUCAAAAUAUUAUAGUGAAAUAUAUUUUAUAUACCCAUACAUGUGCCAGGCUGAAAGCUCAACCAAACCACACGAAGGGGAAUGGGUGUGCUGAUGGCGAUGGAGAAAAGGCGCUUAAGCGUGAAAGACAAAAUUCUAAGAAAGAAGAAAGUCAACACUGAAAGCUCACUUCAAUAUGGUGAUUAAAAGUAAAACUCUGAUAAAGCAUGCAAUCUCAUUUCAUUAGUGGUCUCAAAAUGAGUGGGUUGUUGAGUGGUACUGGAAUGUAUACACAGGCAAUAUUACAAAACACACAAUGACCUGGCAAGUGCUUCACACACACCUUGGACUGUUCUCAAAACACAAAUCUAUAAGGUUAAAAAAAAACAAAAAAA